rfam:Bacillus megaterium QM B1551, complete genome.
GGUUAAGUUAGAAAGGGCGCACGGUGAAUGCCUUGGCACUAGGAGCCGAUGAAGGACGGGACUAACACCGAUAUGCUUCGGGGAGCUGUAAGUGAGCUUUGAUCCGGAGAUUUCCGAAUGGGGAAACCCACUGUUCGUAAUGGAACAGUAUCUUUAUCUGAAUACAUAGGAUAUUGAAGGCAGACCCGGGGAACUGAAACAUCUAAGUACCCGGAGGAAGAGAAAGCAAAUGCGAUUUCCUGAGUAGCGGCGAGCGAAACGGAAUUAGCCCAAACCAAGAGGCUUGCCUCUUGGGGUUGUAGGACACUCUAUACGGAGUUACAAAGGAACGAAGUAAAUGAAGCGACCUGGAAAGGUCCGUCGAAGAAGGUAACAACCCUGUAGUUGAAACUUCGUUCCCUCUUGAGUGGAUCCUGAGUACGGCGGAACACGUGAAAUUCCGUCGGAAGCUGGGAGGACCAUCUCCCAAGGCUAAAUACUACCUAGUGACCGAUAGUGAACCAGUACCGUGAGGGAAAGGUGAAAAGCACCCCGGAAGGGGAGUGAAAGAGAUCCUGAAACCGUGUGCCUACAAGUAGUCAGAGCCCGUUAACGGGUGAUGGCGUGCCUUUUGUAGAAUGAACCGGCGAGUUACGAUCCCAUGCAAGGUUAAGCUGAUAAGGCGGAGCCGUAGCGAAAGCGAGUCUGAAUAGGGCGUUUAGUAUGUGGUUGUAGACCCGAAACCAGGUGAUCUACCCAUGUCCAGGGUGAAGUUCAGGUAACACUGAAUGGAGGCCCGAACCCACGCACGUUGAAAAGUGCGGGGAUGAGGUGUGGGUAGCGGAGAAAUUCCAAUCGAACCUGGAGAUAGCUGGUUCUCUCCGAAAUAGCUUUAGGGCUAGCCUCAUGUUGUGAGAGUCUUGGAGGUAGAGCACUGAUUGGACUAGGGGCCCCCAACGGGUUACCGAAUUCAGUCAAACUCCGAAUGCCAAAGACUUAUCCAUGGGAGUCAGACUGCGAGUGAUAAGAUCCGUAGUCAAAAGGGAAACAGCCCAGACCACCAGCUAAGGUCCCCAAGUAUACGUUAAGUGGAAAAGGAUGUGGAGUUGCUUAGACAACCAGGAUGUUGGCUUAGAAGCAGCCACCAUUUAAAGAGUGCGUAAUAGCUCACUGGUCGAGUGACUCUGCGCCGAAAAUGUACCGGGGCUAAACGUAUCACCGAAGCUGUGGAUUGACAUCUUAGAUGUCAGUGGUAGGAGAGCGUUCUAAGUGCAGCGAAGUCAGACCGUAAGGACUGGUGGAGCGCUUAGAAGUGAGAAUGCCGGUAUGAGUAGCGAAAGACAAGUGAGAAUCUUGUCCACCGAAUGCCUAAGGUUUCCUGAGGAAGGCUCGUCCGCUCAGGGUUAGUCGGGACCUAAGCCGAGGCUGAAAAGCGUAGGCGAUGGCCAACAGGUUGAUAUUCCUGUACCACCUCCCCGCCGUUUGAGUAAUGGGGGGACGCAGUAGGAUAGGGUAAGCGCGCUGCUGGAUAUGCGCGUUCAAGCAGUUAGGCUGAUGAGUAGGCAAAUCCGCUCAUCAUAAAGGCUGAGCUGUGAUGACGAGGGAAUUAUAGUACCGAAGUUCCUGAUUCCACACUGCCAAGAAAAGCCUCUAGCGAGGCGGGAGGUGCCCGUACCGCAAACCGACACAGGUAGGCGAGGAGAGAAUCCUAAGGUGAUCGAGAGAACUCUCGUUAAGGAACUCGGCAAAAUGACCCCGUAACUUCGGGAGAAGGGGUGCUCUGGUAGGGUGUAUAGCCCGAGAGAGCCGCAGUGAAUAGGCCCAGGCGACUGUUUAGCAAAAACACAGGUCUCUGCGAAGCCGCAAGGCGAAGUAUAGGGGCUGACGCCUGCCCGGUGCUGGAAGGUUAAGAGGAGGGGUUAUCCUUUGGGAGAAGCUCUGAAUCGAAGCCCCAGUAAACGGCGGCCGUAACUAUAACGGUCCUAAGGUAGCGAAAUUCCUUGUCGGGUAAGUUCCGACCCGCACGAAAGGCGUAACGAUCUGGGCACUGUCUCAACGAGAGACUCGGUGAAAUUAUAGUACCUGUGAAGAUGCAGGUUACCCGCGACAGGACGGAAAGACCCCGUGGAGCUUUACUGUAGCCUGAUAUUGAAUUUUGGUACAGCUUGUACAGGAUAGGUAGGAGCCUGAGAAGCCGGAGCGCUAGCUUCGGUGGAGGCGUCGGUGGGAUACUACCCUGGCUGUAUUGAAAUUCUAACCCGCGGCCCUGAUCGGGCCGGGAGACAGUGUCAGGUGGGCAGUUUGACUGGGGCGGUCGCCUCCUAAAAUGUAACGGAGGCGCCCAAAGGUUCCCUCAGAAUGGUUGGAAAUCAUUCGUAGAGUGUAAAGGCACAAGGGAGCUUGACUGCGAGACCUACAAGUCGAGCAGGGACGAAAGUCGGGCUUAGUGAUCCGGUGGUUCCGCAUGGAAGGGCCAUCGCUCAACGGAUAAAAGCUACCCCGGGGAUAACAGGCUUAUCUCCCCCAAGAGUCCACAUCGACGGGGAGGUUUGGCACCUCGAUGUCGGCUCAUCGCAUCCUGGGGCUGUAGUCGGUCCCAAGGGUUGGGCUGUUCGCCCAUUAAAGCGGUACGCGAGCUGGGUUCAGAACGUCGUGAGACAGUUCGGUCCCUAUCCGUCGUGGGCGUAGGAAAUUUGAGAGGAGCUGUCCUUAGUACGAGAGGACCGGGAUGGACACACCGCUGGUGUACCAGUUGUCUUGCCAAAGGCAUCGCUGGGUAGCUAUGUGUGGACGGGAUAAGUGCUGAAAGCAUCUAAGCAUGAAGCCCCCCUCAAGAUGAGAUUUCCCAUAGCGCAAGCUAGUAAGAUCCCUGAAAGAUGAUCAGGUUGAUAGGUCAGAGGUGGAAGCGUGGCGACAUGUGUAGCUGACUGAUACUAAUCGAUCGAGGACUUAACCAA